AAAUGUUGCGAUAUCAUCAUAAUUAACUAUCAUCUAUUUUAUUUCCUGAAAACACAAACUAUCAUCUAUUUUAUUUCCUGUUAAUGUGAUUUGCACUUCAUCUUUACAGAGCCAAAUCCUAGCGCGCCCAGCCGCUGCUCGUGAACCCCGCCUCCAUCAGCUCCACUUCACCGAAGCCGUCAGUCCACAGGAAUAGGGGUAGCGGAUCCCCUAUAGCGGCCAAAUCCCGGUGCACCCAGCCGCUGCUCAUGAACCCCGCCUCCAUCAGCUCCACUUCACCGGAGCCGUCAGUCCACAGGAGUAGGGGUAGCAGGUUCACCUGACGUCCGACGCCUUCUUCCAUCUCCAAAAAUCUUGUUUUUUGAGUUCAGUUCUUCGUCACAUGUUUCACUAGCUGAAAAAUGCAUGGUGUUCUGAAAUUGCUUGCGGACCACUAGCUGAAAUUGCUUGACGAACAGAGCAAAGGUUGUAUCUUCAUCUACUGUUUUUUCAGAUAUUCGUCAUAUGCACGAGCACGGCUAUAUUUGCUUGUUAUGAUCUAGUGGGCAGCAUUAACAUUUUGGUAGUCCUUCUGCAGGGCCCAAACCCACUGUCAUGCAAGAAAAAGAAAGCAAAGCCCCAACCA
rnacentral:lncRNA from 1 species